rnacentral:rRNA from 1 species
UACGUAGGGUGCGAGCGUUGCCCGGAUUUAUUGGGCGUAAAGGGCGCGUAGGCGGCUCGGCACGUCCGUUGUGAAAUCGCCCGGCUCAACUGGGCGGGGUCAGCGGAUACGGCAGAGCUUGAGCAAGCUAGGGGGCAAUGGAAUUCCCGGUGUAGUGGUGGAAUGCGUAGAUAUCGGGAGGAACACCAGUGGCGAAGGCGGUUGCCUGGGGCUUUGCUGACGCUGAUGCGCGAAAGCGUGGGGAGCGAACAGG